rnacentral:tRNA from 1 species
GAGGGUUAGCCUAAUUGGUAAGGCACCGGAUUUGAAAUCCGGCGGGCUCUGCCCUUGGGGGUUCGAGUCCCUCACCCUCC